rnacentral:rRNA from 1 species
UACGUAGGGGGCAAGCGUUGUCCGGAAUCAUUGGGCGUAAAGCGCGUGUAGGCGGUUCGGUAAGUCUGCUGUGAAAGUCCAGGGCUCAACCCUGGGAUGCCGGUGGAUACUGUCGGGCUAGAGUGCGGAAGAGGCGAGUGGAAUUCCUGGUGUAGCGGUGAAAUGCGCAGAUAUCAGGAGGAACACCAAUUGCGAAGGCAGCUCGCUGGGACGUGACUGACGCUGAGACGCGAAAGCGUGGGGAGCAAACAGG